UCGAUUAGAAACUAGCCCUUGACUGCGAUCUCACUUGGUGGUUAGUGAUGGUGUAGUCUAAGGUGAAAGCGGGCUAACCUGGAAGGGGAAUAGCAGUUUUAUUAAGACCACACCACUAUGGUUUCUACACGGCAUCGUACCGGAACG